GAUGAACGCUGGCGGCGUGCCUAAUACAUGCAAGUAGAACGCUGAAGGAGGAGCUUGCUCUUCUGGAUGAGUUGCGAACGGGUGAGUAACGCGUAGGUAACCUGCCUGGUAGCGGGGGAUAACUAUUGGAAACGAUAGCUAAUACCGCAUGACAACAGUUAUUGCAUGAUAACUGUUUAAAAGGGGCAACUGCUCCACUACCAGAUGGACCUGCGUUGUAUUAGCUAGUUGGUGAGGUAACGGCUCACCAAGGCGACGAUACAUAGCCGACCUGAGAGGGUGAUCGGCCACACUGGGACUGAGACACGGCCCAGACUCCUACGGGAGGCAGCAGUAGGGAAUCUUCGGCAAUGGACGGAAGUCUGACCGAGCAACGCCGCGUGAGUGAAGAAGGUUUUCGGAUCGGAAAGCUCUGCUGUAAGAGAAGAACGAGUGUGAGAGUGGAAAGUUCACACUGUGACGGUAUCUUACCAGAAAGGGACGGCUAACUACGUG
rnacentral:rRNA from 1 species